rnacentral:lncRNA from 1 species
AAGGCUUCCUGCUGUCUCUCCAGGCUCCGCAAGCAGGGCUGGGGCACCCUCAGGUAUGUCUCUCUACUGGCAGGGCAGUCCUUGGCUGUCUCAGUCACCACUGUGUCCCCAGCAUCACCCAGCUCAGUGACACAAAGGAAUGAGUGAAUAUAUACUUCUCUAUUUCAUAGAUAGAGAAGUCAUCACAUCAACAUAAAAUAAAAUACUGAAUGUUACGUAUC